rnacentral:rRNA from 1 species
AGUGAGCGGCAAAAGCUCAAAUUUGAAAUCUAGCACCUUCGGUGUUCGAGUUGUAAUUUGAAGAUGGUAACCUUGGGUUUGGCUCUUGUCUAUGUUCCUUGGAACAGGACGUCAUAGAGGGUGAGAAUCCCGUCUGAUGAGAUGCCCAUUCCUAUGUAAGGUGCUAUCGAAGAGUCGAGUUGUUUGGGAAUGCAGCUCUAAGUGGGUGGUAAAUUCCAUCUAAAGCUAAAUAUUGGCGAGAGACCGAUAGCGAACAAGUACAGUGAUGGAAAGAUGAAAAGAACUUUGAAAAGAGAGUGAAAAAGUACGUGAAAUUGUUGAAAGGGAAGGGCAUUAGAUCAGACUUGGUGUUUUACGAUUAUCUUCUCUUCUUGAGUUGUGCACUCGUAUUUCACUGGGCCAGCAUCGAUUCGGAUGGCAAGAUAAUGGCAGUUGAAUGUGGCUUCACUUCGGUGGAGUGUUAUAGCUUCUGCUGAUAUUGCCUGUCUGGAUCGAGGGCUGCGUCUUUUGACUAGGAUGCUGGCGUAAUGAUCUAAUGCCG